AGUGAACGCUGGCGGUAGGCCUAACACAUGCAAGUCGAACGACAGCACAGUAAGAGCUUGCUCUUACGGGUGGCGAGUGGCGGACGGGUGAGGAAUACAUCGGAAUCUACUUUUUCGUGGGGGAUAACGUAGGGAAACUUACGCUAAUACCGCAUACGACCUACGGGUGAAAUCAGGGGAUCUUCGGACCUUGCGCGAUUGAAUGAGCCGAUGUCGGAUUAGCUAGUUGGCGGGGUAAAGGCCCACCAAGGCGACGAUCCGUAGCUGGUCUGAGAGGAUGAUCAGCCACACUGGAACUGAGACACGGUCCAGACUCCUACGGGAGGCAGCAGUGGGGAAUAUUGGACAAUGGGCGCAAGCCUGAUCCAGCCAUACCGCGUGGGUGAAGAAGGCCUUCGGGUUGUAAAGCCCUUUUGUUGGGAAAGAAAAGCAGCAGGUUAAUACCCCGCUGUUCUGACGGUACCCAAAGAAUAAGCACCGGCUAACUUCGUG
rnacentral:rRNA from 1 species